UAAAACUCUGUUGUUAGAGAAGAACAAGGAUGAGAGUAACUGCUCAUCCCCUGACGGUAUCUAACCAGAAAGCCACGGCUAACUACGUGCCAGCAGCCGCGGUAAUACGUAGGUGGCAAGCGUUGUCCGGAUUUAUUGGGCGUAAAGCGAGCGCAGGCGGUUCUUUAAGUCUGAUGUGAAAGCCCCCGGCUCAACCGGGGGAGGGUCAUUGGAAACUGGAGAACUUGAGUGCAGAAGAGGAGAGUAGAAUUCCACGUGUAGCGGUGAAAUGCGUAGAUAUGUGGAGGAACACCAGUGGCGAARGCGACUCUCUGGUCUGUAACUGACGCUGAGGCUCGAAAGCGUGGGGAGCAAACAGGAUUAGAUACCCUGGUAGUCCACGCCGUAAACGAUGAGUGCUAAGUGUUGGAGGGUUUCCGCCCUUCAGUGCUGCAGCUAACGCAUUAAAGCACUCCGCCUGGGGGAGUACGACCGCAAGGUUG
rnacentral:rRNA from 1 species